UGUCUGCGGGUCUGCGGGCGGGGGGGGGGGGAUAGUCAGGGGGCUGUUUAUUUUUAAUCUUCUUCCUCGUGCAGCUCGUUGGAAUGACUUUCUUUAUUUUAGUUGUAACAGUUGGAGGAUAAUGCAAAAGAAGACGCAGCCUGGGAAUUCUCCGUCUGUGGAAAUGCGCCCCAGAGAGGAAUAAACCCGUCCUCGCCUGGCGGUCCCCUCCGGACCCGCCCCCCUCCCGCCUCGCCCCCCACACCAUCGCCCCCUCCCCGCCCCGCCCCCCACCCAGGUGUCGGCCCGGGCGGUCCCCACCUCCACCCUGCACCCCUUCUUCCCGCCCUGCGCCAUGAACACCAACGUCUGCGUGGAGCCCGGGCCGAGCCCGGAGGCGCCGGGCCUGCCCAAGGACAGCCACCUGCCCGAGGGGGCCCUCAACAGCCUUGUGGAUUACAACUCGGAGAUGGAGCGCUACCGCUCCUUCGCCAGCUCCUUCUACAAGACGGGCGGGGGCGCCUUCCCGCAGGCCGCCAAGAUCGCGCGCAUCACCACCCCCAUCUUCCCGGGCAGCGCCGCCGCCGCCGCGGCCGCCGCGCGCAUCGGCAUGUCCCCCUGGAGCUGCGACAACGCGGCCACCGCCGCCGCCGCCACCGCCAUGCUCUGGGGCAGCGGGGGCGGCGGGGGCGGGGGCGCGGGCGCGGGCAGGAAGUCCUCCUCCGCCGCCGCCGCCGCCGCCGCCCCCGCCGCCUCCUCCGCGGGGCUCCCGGCGGGCGGGGGCGGCGGCGGCGGCGGCGGCGGCGGCGCGGGGGGCGGCGGCGGCCGGACCCCCGUGCACCACCGGAACGACUCCCCGCGGCUGGGCAAGGCGGGCUGCGCGCCCGAGCCGGCGCUGCAGAUGGCGAACACGAACUUCCUCUCCGGCCUGGCGCCCGAGCACUGCAGGCCCCUGGCGGGCGAGUGCAUGAACAAGCUCAAGUGCGGCGCGGCCGAGGCCGAGAUCAUGAACCUGCCCGAGCGCGUGGGCACCUUCUCCGCGCUGCCGGCCCUGGGCGGCCUCUCGCUGCCCCCGGGGGUCAUCGUCAUGACGGCGCUCCCCUCCCCCGCGGCCGCCUCGGCCGCCGUCACGGACAGCGCGUUCCAGAUCGCCAACCUGGCGGACUGCCCGCAGAGCCACUCGUCGUCGUCGUCGUCGUCGUCGGGGGGCGCCGGCGGGGCCAACCCCGCCAAGAAGAAGAGGAAGCGCUGCGGGGUGUGCGUGCCCUGCAAGCGGCUCAUCAACUGCGGCGUCUGCAGCAGCUGCAGGAACCGCAAAACGGGACACCAGAUCUGCAAAUUCAGGAAAUGCGAAGAGCUCAAGAAAAAACCUGGCGCUUCGCUAGAGGCAUGAAUUCUUUGGACGCGACGCUUUCCAGCGGCCAGAAGCAGAGUGAGCCCGCCGCCUUCUCCUCGCGGGCCUGGGGAGCAGGCCGCCGUGUUGUGUCCACACUCCAGGAGCAGCCAAGGCCGCGUUAAGCAAUGCUGGUAGACUCAAUCUGUCCUUUUCCUCCACCCUUCCCUUCCUGGGGAGUCUGGCUCUCCUGUCACUGAGGAUAACGAUUUCCCGUGAGCAUCAGUGAGAUCCAGAGUCAGUAUAAUCUCACCAGGAGUGUGAUUCCCCAACGCGACUCUUGAAUUUACGUAACCCAAAGGCAGCUGGUCCGGUGCUGACUCCAAGCGCCGGUGUGCUGAGCUCCAGCGCCGUUUAAAUAGAGGACUUCUUACCAAGACGACCUCAUUCACUGACAAAAUUACAGAAGACGUGUUCCCAAAUUAAUAGACUUAAUCAAAAACCUGUAAUGUAGCCCAAUACUGUACCUGUGAAAACAGGGUUGCUUCACCCAUCUUGACAAGAACUUAGUCCAGGCCUGAAGUAGAUUUCCAGGGAGCCGGAUGAAAACUGAGCUGGAGACUCGCUAAGCAUCUUGAGUUUGUGUGACCUGUGGAACUGAGGAGUUUUGUUACUUUUUUAACCCAGAAAUAAAACUGUUAGAGGACGCUCACUUCACAUUUCUGAGAACACCUGUUCCCAGCGCCGAAGCUUUCCGAUGGUUCUUUUAAAGCAGUAGUAUAUCUUAUUUUCAAGGCAUUUGGAAGUGAAGGGCAAACUAAUGUCUUGUUUUAAGAAACUGCUUAGUCCACCACUGAAGAAAAUAUCCACAUAUUAUUUUCAUUUUAUGUAUAGGGGUUUCUUCAAAAAAAAAAAAAAGGAAAAGAAAAGAAAAAAGACAUAUAAAAAUAAUUUGGGAGCUUGGGGAAUUGGCCAGUCUGUUCCCUUUCAAUACACUGAUUCUUUCUUGGAUGUAAUUUAGCUAUUCUAGUGAAGUCAUUGUCUAUUUUAAAAGUGGCUGUAAAAAAUAAGUUUGGGUAAACCCCUGCUGUAAAACCAUGUAUCUUUGCAAAGUACAUAUCUAUGCUUCGUUCUGGAAUCUGUGUGUCUCGGUACUGUAAACUGUACAGAUAGCAGCCUGUAUUUUGAGUGUUUAGACACGAGGAGACAAUCACGUCUGAGCAUCUAUGGAGAUUAGCGGUUUGUACACAACAGGAUGGUUCUGCGACUUAAAUCUGGAGCAAUAAAUUUUAGCUUUAAGUAUUUUUGCCAGUUGUUUGUAGCAGCAGCCACAGCAGAGGCGUGUUUCCGAUGCAUCUUUCCGUAGAGACUCGAUGCCAAGUUUUACCGACUAAAGGAUGACGACGCAUCCCGCGGUUACCUCCGGUGUGUGUCCUGAGGGAGCUGUCACGCGAGUCCUGGUCACUCUUCUUCGAGCACUGUGUUAGCGUAGCGGUCGUGCACUUGCGUUGCUUGCAGACAAGCUGUGCAGAGGGUGGGCCUCCCGAACCUUAGUGUAGGGGACUUGUCCGGGGUUGCACUGCAAGGCGGGGUCCUUGGGGUAGUUGGAACUUGCAGAAUCGGUUGUACAAUUUUCUUUUAAGUGUUUUCUAGGAUACAGAAUAAAGUAUCAGAUCUUAGGGGGAGAAAUCCAUGACUGACUUUUUUCCCAGCCCAACAUAGGCUAUAUGUAUUUUUUGUUUGUUUGUUUAUUUUUUGCCUCUUUUUGGGUAGGAAAAAUAAACACUUAAUAAAAUGCAUCCAAAUGUUUUAAUUCUAUGUAUGAUAUUAAAUGGGUAGUUUUGUUUUAAAGUUUAAACACAUCAAGGCCUCCUGCACUGAGGCUUGGCUAGGGAUAUUUUUAAGUUAAAAAGAAAUAGAUACAUUCACAAAAGUGAGGCUUUUUAGUCUCUUUUUAUCUUCCUUUCUCGGAGCCUCCCAGUUGGGCCAGUGGCCCCCAGUGGAAUGUUCCUUCGCUCCCGUUCCCAUCCUUCCUCAGGAGGCAGGGCUGAGUCUGGAAUUCCAUGAAUGCAGACAGCCCCGACAGGAGCUGGAACUUCACCGACCCGUGCCACCUUCUCACGUGGGGUGCGGUUCCCUCUGGCAGUUAGGGUUCCUGAGCCUGUCCCCACAGGACAAAUGUUCUUUGUGACGACAUGAUACCUGAGAAGUUUGUUUCAUGUUUUUUUUUUGCCAGAUUAUAAAGGUUAUUUUCAGCUUCAGGAAUAAAACAGAGUUUAACAAAAAUACAUGGACAGCGAAGUUGCCAUGUCACUGUAACCUUUUUUCUUAAUCCGCUAGCAGCUGUUUUAGCCCAUGACAUCCUUUAGCCUGCUGAAAAGUGUUCGCAAAAUGGAUCAUGUGAAGAAAAAUAACCUGAGGAGAGAAAGAGUAAUGAAAAGGACUGUAAGUUUUAGGGAGACUAGCAGAUGAAUACCUCUAAAAGGCUAGCUGUAGCUUUGAAUGGGAAAUAAUACGACAGAGGGCAUUUUGAAAACCGCGGAGGAGCGCUUCGUCACUGGAUUCCUGGGGUGAGGGCGGGGAGCUCCUUAGGAAGCCAGUGGACCGCACUGGGAUGCGCAGCCCGGAGUGUGAAAGCGAGGUGCCGUUAGGGUCAGACAGCCUCCCUGAGGAAACCUCCUUGUGUACGACACCUCUCCAUGUUCACAGGCGAGAAUUAAACAAGCACAGACUAAGACGCGCUGUGUGCUAAUUCUGAGAUAACUUUCUACUUGCUGUAUAUUCCUUCAAAAGUUUCUAGUUAGAAUUUCUGUUUCUGCUGUGGGACCAAUGAGAGCUUCAUGGGUUCUUUCUUGUUCCAUUUUUAUUUUAUUUUACUUUAUUUUUCAACCAGUUUGCUAAUUACAAGUGAGUGAAAACUGAUUUUCACCCUUGAACGGUAAGAUUUCCUUCCUUUUUGGAAAUGAUGAUUGCUGUUGUAGAGUGAAGCAGGCUUCCAUGGAGGCAACAUCAGUAUACAAUGGUGUAUAAUAAAGACUUCACAGCACACGUGCCAGGAUUGCAGGUCUUGAGGUGUUUUUAUUUGUUUGUUUUCCUAAAGAACUAAUGAAUCUGUAUAUUGUAAAAUGUGGUGUUUUACAUGUCAGUUCAGUUUUUUAAAUGAAAGAAAAUCUGUUGAUUCUUGAAAUGGAAGAGUGCAGCUUUCACAAAUUCUCGUACGUCUAUUCUCGAUACUGUUCUUUUACACCAUCCGUUUCCUUUGUUUUAGGUAAAGCUCUAUUUACGUGACGUAAGGCACACAGAAGGAGACAGGGAGGGAGGUGGUCUUCCUCCGGCCCCCUCUGGUUCUCCUCCUCGUAAGCCGUGUGCUGAGAACUUGGAGAGCAUAUCAUUGUAACCCUGAGGGAGUGAUUGAAAGGUUUACAUUUUUCAUGAUUCUAAAAUACCAAUGAAACGUAACUUUUAAUAGUUCCUCACUGUAUGGUUCAUAUUCAGUACCAAGAAAAUUCACAAUACAGCAAUCACAAUAUAGAUCGUGUGGACUAUCUACACAACUUAAAAAUUACGUAUCAGAUAAGCCAAACGCAGAACUUGGUAGGAGACGUCCAAACGUGCAGGAGCCUUCCUUCUCUAGGGGAGAUGAUGAGACACUACAGUCAGUCAGCAUUUGGGGAGAGCAGGGGAAAUGUUGGGGAGGGCAGGGAGAGAUCAUGAGUGAAUCAAUUUCCUCGUCAGCUGUCGCUCUGCACCCUAACGUCACAAGAGCGUCAUCACGCAGCCUGUCUGUUGCGGGCCUUUGCACCAAAGUGGCUUUCGAGGGGUUCUGCCUGUCUGUACAGCGGGAGGCGUGUUUACAAACUGGAAACGUAGCCAUCCUUGGGAGAGAAAACAGGGAUAGCGUUCCUCCAGGGUCAGAGUAUGUAGAGACACCUCCUGGGUGCUUCCUUCUUCUAGACACGUUUAUAGGGAGCAGGAGACGGGGGCGUCCCAUGAAUUAAUGUCAGGGGAUCACUAAAGGAAAGUUUUCUCUUCCUUUCGUUUAGAACCCUGGCAUGUAGGCCGUACAAUUAGUACUGAGGCUUAUAAAGGCUUUAAGCUGGUGAUGUCUGUAAUCAAACAAUGAAAACAGGAAAGCAGUUCACUGAAAGCACCAUUCAGGGUCAAACAUGUUCAGCAGAAAGCCGCGGUGGGCCUUUGAUCACGGCGAGAUUCACAGUGGAGUCAGACCGUCGGUUCUCAUGUAACAGCUAAAUGUUUCAGAUUUUGUUUUUAUUAAAUUUGGCAGUUUCACACUGAGAUCUGUAUUCCUAGUGAAUAAAAGACGCUACUAUGUUAGGAGGGGUUCCAUUUUCACAACUGCAAGCAGUCAGAGAUACUUCAGGAACACGGGCCACAAAUGGACUCCUUUCAUGGUGUCUCUUAUUCUGAGCUGUGCAGUGAUCUAUUGAAUUUUCUAAUAGAUAUUUGUGUAAGGUGUAUGUAUGCUUGUGCAAUUAUAUAAAAGCAGUUUUGGAAAAGUGUAUUUAUUAAAGAAAAUUACUUAUGGGGCAUGUACAAAACUGUAAAAAAACUUUAAAAAAACACAUUCAAUUUGCCCAGUAAAAUUGUUUUUGUGAAAUUUCUGUGUUGUUGAAUAAAGGACUUUAGUAUUCAAAAUAUC